rnacentral:rRNA from 1 species
AUACGGAGGGUGCAAGCGUUAAUCGGAAUUACUGGGCGUAAAGCGUACGUAGGCGGCAAGUUAAGUUAGAUGUGAAAGCCCCGGGCUCAACCUGGGAACUGCAUUUAAAACUGGCUUGCUAGAGUUGAGUAGAGGAGAGUGGAAUUUCAGGUGUAGCGGUGAAAUGCGUAGAGAUCUGAAGGAACACCAGUGGCGAAGGCGACUCCCUGGACUCGAACUGACGCUGAGGUACGAAAGCGUGGGUAGCAAACGGGAUUAGAAACCCUAGUAGUCC